rnacentral:tRNA from 1 species
GUCGUUGUAGUAUAGUGGUGAGUAUUCUUGCCUGUCACGCAAGUGACUUAGGUUUAAUCCCCGAUAACGGCA